UUCCUGAUAAGGCGUUUACGCGCAUCCGGCAACCGGGUCCAACUGCCUGAUGCGACGCUUGACGCGUCUUAUCAGGCC
rnacentral:ncRNA from 1 species